GAAGGAAGAGGGAUGAGGCCAGGGCACGUUUCACUUUUUUCUUGUUCUAUUCCCUCCAGGAAGAGAACACUCUGUGUAGAACGCCCUUCCCAGCCUGCACGUACAUCAGCGGCGCCCUUGAGGGCGAGCCUCUCUCUCUUCAACCUCAAGGAGGCCUUUGCUGAGAAGCAGCUCAGGACAUGGAAAGAAUAAUACAUGGUUCUGCAUUUCAGUUGUAUACUAAAUUAACUUUUGCACAUUCCUGAAAAAAUGAGAUCCAGAAGUUAGUGAUUCACUAAUGGAUGAGGCUGAACAACACUGGAACAGUGUGGUAAGCGUGCCUUCUGUCAACAUUUCUCUGACCUUGGGAACUUCAGUGUCUUUAAAACAGGUUUUGUUUUUGUUUUUUUUUACCUUCCGUG
rnacentral:lncRNA from 1 species